CCCAGGAGCGAGCCCAUGGUCUUCCGACGCGGGGCCAGGGGCGGGCCCCAGGAUCCGGAGCUUCGGGGGGGCCGAGUCCGGGUUUGGGGCCCGGGAGGCGGGGCCAGUUAGGUCGAGGGUCCCUGGGAUCGUCGGGUCAGGCCUUGGGCUAACGUAGGCACUCUCGCAGUUCCUCCGCCUUCAGGAAGGUCUUUUUAGCAGGGGCCUUACGGGUGCAUGCUUCGGUCCUGGAGGACUUAGGCUAGCCUCCUCUCCAUCAGCGCCACCCGUCUGGGGCCCGAAAGGAGGGAGCUUUCCCUCUGUCCCCCAGCCUUUGGACUGUCACCAAACAAGCCAUUCGUUCACCAAAUACUUUUUAAGCGCCUACCAUGUGCCUGACAAGGGAUAUGUAACGGUGAGAAAAACUAGGUGUGGUCCAGGCCCUUCAGGGACUCAGGGGCUCGUGGAAGAAGUGGAUAUUGAAGUACUUAUCACACAAAGGAGGAUAAAAGUACGAUAGCGAUAUCUACCACGAAGAUAGGGUCUCUCUCUCUGCCACUCAGGCCAGAGUGCAGUUGACGCAGAGCAGGGGAGCCCUGAAAUGGAGCAUAGUGUGUCCGGAACUGGUGGGUUCUUGGUCUCACUGACUUCAAGAAUGAAGCUGCGGACCCUCGGGAUGAGUGUCACAGUUCUUAAAGGUGGCUUGUCUGGAGUUUGUUCCUUCUGAUGCUCUGAUGUGUUCAGAGUUUCUUCUUUCUGGUGGGUUUGUGGUCUCACUGGCUUCAGGAGUGAAGCUGCAGACCUUCAAGGUGAGUGUUACAGCUCUUAAGGCGGUGCGUCUGGAGUUGUUUGUUCCUCCCGGUGGGUUCAUAGUCUCGCUGGCUUCAGGAGUG
rnacentral:lncRNA from 10 species